GAUGAAGAACGUAGCGAAAUGCGAUAAGUAGUGUGAAUUGCAGAAUUCAGUGAAUCAUCGAAUCUUUGAACGCACAUUGCGCCCUUUGGUAUUCCAAAGGGCAUGCCUGUUCGAGCGUCAUUUGUACCCUCAAGCUUUGCUUGGUGUUGGGCGUCUUGUCUCUAGCUUUGCUGGAGACUCGCCUUAAAGUAAUUGGCAGCCGGCCUACUGGUUUCGGAGCGCAGCACAAGUCGCACUCUCUAUCAGCAAAGGUCUAGCAUCCAUUAAGCCUUUUUUUCAACUUUUGACCUCGGAUCAGGUAGGGAUACCCGCUGAACUUAAGCAUAUCAAUAAGCGGAAGA
rnacentral:misc_RNA from 1 species